rnacentral:rRNA from 1 species
GACGAACGCUGGCGGCGUGCCUAACACAUGCAAGUCGAACGGAGUUAAGCCCUUCGGGACUUAACUUAGUGGCGAACGGGUGAGUAACGCGUGAGGAACCUGCCUUUCAGUGGGGGACAACAGUUGGAAACGACUGCUAAUACCGCAUGAUACUUUUUGGGGGCAUCCCUGGAAAGUCAAAGCUUUAUGUGCUGAAAGAUGGCCUCGCGUCUGAUUAGCUGGUUGGCGGGGUUAACGGCCCACCAAGGCGACGAUCAGUAGCCGGUCUGAGAGGAUGAACGGCCACAUUGGGACUGAGAUACGGCCCAGACUCCUACGGGAGGCAGCAGUGGGGAAUAUUGGGCAAUGGGCGAAAGCCUGACCCAGCAACGCCGCGUGAAGGAGAAGGCCUUCGGGUUGUAAACGUUCUUUACCUAGGGACGAAGAACGUGACGGUACCUGGAGAAAAA